GAUGAAGAACGUAGCGAAAUGCGAUAAGUAAUGUGAAUUGCAGAAUUCAGUGAAUCAUCGAAUCUUUGAACGCACAUUGCGCCCGCCAGUAUUCUGGCGGGCAUGCCUGUUCGAGCGUUAUUUCAACCAUCAAGCCCCGGGCUUGUGUUGGGGACCUGCGGCUGCCGCAGGCCCUGAAAUGCAGUGGCGGGCUCGCUGUCACUCCGAGCGUAGUAGUUACAUCUCGCUCUGGGCGUGCUGCGGGUUCCGGCCGUUAAAAGCCUUAUUUACCCAAGGUUGACCUCGGAUCAGGUAGGAAGACCCGCUGAACUUAAGCAUAUCAAUAAGCGGAGGA
rnacentral:misc_RNA from 1 species